rnacentral:lncRNA from 1 species
AUAAAUAUCAAUCAAUAGGGCCUAUGGUAGGCAGAAUAAUGCGCCCCCCCCAGAUGUCCACAUCCUGAUCCCCAGAAUCUUUGACUGUGUUACAUGGCAAGAGGGAAUCAAAGUUGCAGAUGGAAUUAAGGUUGUUAACCAACUGACCUUGAGAUGGAGAGAGGAUCCUGAUUAUCCAGGUGGGCCCAAUAUAAUCAUGAGGGUCCUUAAAAGUGGAAGAGGGCUGCAGGAGAGUCGGUGUCGGAGGGAUGUGGCAUGCAAAAGACUAUCUACCAUGGCUGGCUCUAAAGAUGGAAGGAGGCCGUGAGCCAACGGAUGCAGCAUUUCCUAGAAGGUGGAAAAGCUUCUGCUUCUCCCUGCAACUCUCAGCUUCUCCCUUUUCUCUCAUGAUCAGAACAUAGAAGCUGAAAGACCGGGAGAGAAGGAUCACUUUCGUAUAGGCCUGGUAACCCCAUGACUGCCUGCAAUCAAGAAAAUUGUACCACAUAAACCACUGUUCAGAGAGAAUGCUGUUCGUUCGCCGGUAUCUUUUUUUUUCUUCUGGGCACGCAGCUAGGCUGUAUUUCCCAGUCUCCUCUGCUGUUAGGUGGAGCCAUAUAACUGAGUUCUGGCCAACGGAACAAGAGGCAAUCAUGGGUCUAGUGGCUGGAUGUGGAGACCUGGUGAACUCCAAGACCCUGGAGAUUGGUGAAGCCCCUAGACUGGAAGCAUCCUGGGUUCCUAAGUUGCCAUGUGGAAUAAAGCUACCCAGGAGACCCACCCAACCACAGACACCUGUGUUGGACUGUUUCAGGUCAAAAAAUAAUUUUUUUAUUAUUUAAAACCACUGAAAUAUUGGUGCCUUUAUUACAAUUCAGAGACUGGUACCUCGAAGUUGGGUGCUGCCAUAGCAUAAAUCUAAAAUACAUGAGUGAGUUGGCGAAUGGUAAGGAAACAUGGUAGUAGCUGAAUGAUGGAUACUAGGCUAUAAAGUAGCAAGACACUGAAAAAUGGUCACCUGCAGUAACUUAAAGAAGACCGUGUGUUUACUGAACCAGGGUUCUGAGGAAGCGGUUGGGAAUAAUUUGAGUGCUGGUGCCUGCUGGCUACUAUUAGCUGUCUUUGGUAAUGUUUUAUAGGAAAGAGAUGAGUUCAGGAAGGAGUUGGCUGGUCUGCAAGCUGAAAUGAAAGGGAACAGAGUCAAGAAACCUGGGGCAAUGAAAUGUUAGGAUAGCUGAUACCUUUGAGAUUACCAAAUAAUAAGAGAUAAGGCUUUGAGUAUUAGAGCCAGUGAUAUUCCUCAGUUAAACACAAGACUCAGCCCAGCGGCAAAGAUCAGAUUAGGAAUGUGGCCUUCCCAUAUGUUCUUUUAGAUGGAUACGGGAUAGAGACACAUUCUCUCUUCCUUUGUGGGCCAGAAGCAUAGAUCCAGGAAAGGUCUCUGACGGCCUAGGGCAGAGGUCCACAAAGAGCCUAUGGGCUAAUGGUCUAUGGCUGUUUCAUGCUACAGAGUUGAGUACUUAUGACAAGACACUAUAGAGCCUAGAAAGUCUAGAAUAUUUACUAGCUGGCCCUCUACAGAAAAAGUUUGCCAACCCCUGCUCUAGGGAAUGGCAGAGCCCCUAGACAGAAGGUGCCUGGCUUCCCAGUCACAACCAUCUCUUGGAGGAGAGCCAAUAACCCAGGAACACACACCCUGCCCUUUGACUGCGUUUACACCUUUAGUUCCUCUGGUUCUCAGGCCUUUGGAUUCUGACUGAAUUAUACCACCAGGAUUCCUGGGUCUCCAGCUUGCAGAGGGCAGCCUGUGGGACUUCUCACCCUCUGCAAUCACAUGAGCCAAUUCCUCAUAAUAUCUAUAUACUAUAUACCACGUAGCAUACAUCCACUUGUCCUAUUGGUUCUGUUUUCUGGAGAAACCCUGACUACUAGAGUUGUUGCUGAUGCUGUGGAUAGUGCUAUUUUAAACAGAUAAAUUGUCUAGUACAUGUAUUUUUUCCCACCUUGUCUGAUUGUCUCCUUUAAGUGACUUCCUAGGUCCCAGGAUCUCUUGGUCCAGGGGCAUGAACGUUUUUAAGGCCUUCCUAUAUCCUGCCUAAUUGAACUCUAAGACAGUUAUAAAAAAUGAAGCAACUCUCAGGUAGAGAUAUAUAGAAGUGACAUCUAAACUUCUGGCUAAUGUUUCUCAAACUGAGUAUUUUAGAAUUGUUCAGUUUUCUCCAAAAUGUGCUUUCUUAGGAUUGCCAGCUUGUCCAUCCAUGUGGAAAGCUGAGGGCUUCAUUAGAGAAGAGUCCUCCUCCUGUGUCUCUUCAGCUUUCUGAGCCGGGAGCAGCCCCUGCUUAAACAGUGCCCGCUUCUCAUUAAUGUCUCCAGGGCUCUUGCAAUAUCCCCAGCUCCGUUUUAAUGAGUCAGCGAUUUCCUUGAAAUGGCAUGAAGUCAAAGCAGGGCUUCCAGGCUGCCAGCACAGUGACACUGAGAAGCCAAGUCACCAAGACUAGAGCUGAAAGAGAAUCCAAGAAACCAUUUGGCCCAACUUUCUGGCUUCAGGCAAAUAAGAUGUUCCAUCAGCAGAAGAGUUUUAGAAGAUCUAGACAGCCUUUGGCAAGGAAUGGUGUCUCUCUAGUCAUUGUGUUAAGCAAAAAGAGAAAACGCUGUACAAGGAAAGCAAAUUGCAGUUAAAAUUAAAGUGUUAUCCCUAUGAAGGAACAGUCCAUCGAAUGGUACCUACAUCAGGACAAGACUUUCCCCUAUUCAUUACCUGUUUCUAAUUUGUCUCCAGUAUCAACUCUUUUCCCCAAAAACUAGGAUAACAAUUGCCAUCAAUUCACUUGGCACAGAGUGUCCUAUUGCCAAGGUGUUAAAAAAUAUAUAUAUAUUUUUAAAAAUUUAAUUUUCUCUACAAAGAAUGUUUAAAUAACAAGAGAAAGUCACCAUCUUAACACAUAUCCUACCAUUUUAAAACAACCACUUUUAGCAUCUUGGUGCAUUUUGGUCUUUUGGGGGUAUAGUCCAGAAAAAUUGGUUUUGGUCCAAGUAUCCCUAUACAGUACUUUAGUUUGCUUUUUCCGUUAAUAUUGUUUCACAACAAUUUUCAUGUGAUUAAAAAUCUAUAAAACAUUAUUUUUCAAUGACUGAAUACCAUAAUUUACCCAACAUUUCCCAAUUUUUUAUUAUAAAUAACAUGGUGGUAAAGACUUCCAUGUGUAGAACAUUCUCCACAUUUUGGAUUAUUUAAAAAAGAUAGAGGGCCAGCCCGGUGGUGCAUCGGUUAAGUUCGUGCAUUCCGCUUGGGUGGCCCGGGGUUCACCGGUUCAGAUCCCGGGUGUGGACAUGGCACUGCUUGGCAAGCCAUGCUGUGGUAGGCGUCCCACAUAUUAAAGUAGAGGAAGAUGGGCACGGAUGUUAGCUCAGGGCCAGUCUUCCUCAGCAAAAAGAGGAGGAUUGGCAGCAGAUGUUAGCUCAGGGCUAAUCUUCCUCAAAAAAAAAAAAUAGAUUUCUAGAAAUU